rnacentral:rRNA from 1 species
GCACAAGCGGUGGAGCAUGUGGUUUAAUUCGACGCAACGCGAAGAACCUUACCUGGGCUUGACAUGUUCCUGACCGUCCUGGAAACAGGGCUUCCCUUCGGGGCAGGAUCACAGGUGGUGCAUGGCUGUCGUCAGCUCGUGUCGUGAGAUGUUGGGUUAAGUCCCGCAACGAGCGCAACCCCCGUCGCAUGUUGCCAGCAUUUAGUUGGGGACUCAUGCGAGACUGCCGGUGACAAACCGGAGGAAGGUGGGGAUGACGUCAAGUCAUCAUGCCCCUUAUGUCCAGGGCUACACACGUGCUACAUUGGCGCGUACAGAGGGCUGCGAUACCGCGAGGUGGAGCGAAUCCCUCAAAGCGCGUCUCGGUUCGGAUUGCAGGCUGAAACCCGCCUGCAUGAAGGUGGAGUUGCUAGUAAUCGCGGAUCAGCAUUGCCGCGGUGAAUACGUUCCCGGGC